rnacentral:lncRNA from 1 species
UUCAAAUUAAAUCAGUUUGAAUGAUAAAAAUCAGUCGAAAAAUGCAUCUUUUCCCGAUAUGUCAGAGUUUGACGUCGCGAAAAUAACAUUUUACGUUAGCAACAUCAUUACAUUCCCUGUAACUGUAUCGUAUGCCCUUAAGCUCACAAUCUGCCUCUGGAAGAAGCAUACAUUUUUGUUAAUGUCCUUUUUUUCUGUUGAACUAAUAGGAGAAAUAGAGGUAAUAUCGAAAUAAAAAAAUUUACAGAAAUCUCUUAAAUUUUACAAUUAUUUAGUUUAUGUACAGUUUAUUUGAUAACAAUAAUAAAAAAUAUAGGUCACCGAUGAGUU